rnacentral:SRP_RNA from 1 species
UUGGGUCCCGUGCGAUGCAUCGGUGUGAACCCUGUCAGGUCCUGACGGAAGCAGCAGUAAGCAUUGGAUGGAUGUGCUGCGGGGCUGCC